GACGAACCGUGCGAACGUUAUUCGGAAUCACUGGGCUUAAAGCGCGUGUAGGCGGCUUUGCAAGUCGGGUGUGAAAGCCCUCGGCUCAACCGAGGAAGUGCGCCCGAAACUGCAGAGCUUGAGUACCGGAGAGGAUGGCGGAAUUCCCCAAGUAGAGGUGAAAUUCGUAGAUAUUGGGAAGAACACCGGUGGCGAAGGCGGCGACCUGGUCCUUUUACUGACGCUGAGGCGCGAAAGCGUGGGGAGCAAACAGG
rnacentral:rRNA from 1 species